GGCAGCUUUCUGUGAAGACAAAUUGUUAACAAUGUAGAGUUUCAGAGGAGGUUACAAAAGAGAGAGAUGCCAUAGAAGAGAUGUCAAAAGAUAAAGCCCUGUGAAGUUAAGCCAGGACCAAGGC